AGUCAGUGGCCAAAACUGGGCGACUCAUGAUCAGUCAUGAGGCUCCCUUGACAGGAGGCUUUGCAUCAGAGAUCAGUUCUACAGUUCAGGAAGAGUGUUUCUUGAAUCUUGAGGCACCAAUUUCAAGAGUGUGUGGAUAUGAUACACCAUUUCCUCAUAUCUUUGAGACAUUCUAUAUCCCAGACAAAUGGAAAUGUUAUGAUGCCCUUCGAAAAAUGAUAAAUUAUUGAUCAAAUAGAGGCCAGAGGAAAGAACUAGAUGCAAAAGUAUCUCAAUGGACUUUGAUAUUUACUCAAAUUUGUUUCUUCUUCACAUGGACUUCAUAUGAAACCAUCUGUCCUGAAUAUUGGUCAAGAAGAAGCUAAAGCUCAGAAUCCUCACUAUUAGCAAAUACAAAAAAAAAAAAAGGAUAUUUCAAAUAGUGAAUAGUUUAAUAUGGGCUUUAUAAAAUUUUCCACAUUCUAUGAGUAUAAAUACUAUUAAGUUUAUAUAACCUUGCUUGUUUACAUCUUUAAAUGACUUCUCUGUAAAUAGGGGAUGUGGGACUAUAUUCAAUAAAGCUUUUUCAAGUUGUCAGGUUUUUUCCUCAUGUUGUUUCUAGUAAAAUCCAUAAUUGUAAAUUCUCAAAAUUGUGAAGCAUGAAUUGGUUGUUGGUUAAGUUAUAAUAAAAAUGAAAUAGAGAUUG